rnacentral:rRNA from 1 species
AUUCGUCACACUAUCAUUAACUGAAUCCAUAGGUUAAUGAGGCGAACCGGGGGAACUGAAACAUCUAAGUACCCCGAGGAAAAGAAAUCAACCGAGAUUCCCCCAGUAGCGGCGAGCGAACGGGGAGGAGCCCAGAGCCUGAAUCAGUGUGUGUGUUAGUGGAAGCGUCUGGAAAGGCGCGCGAUACAGGGUGACAGCCCCGUACACAAAAAUGCACAUGCUGUGAGCUCGAUGAGUAGGGCGGGACACGUGGUAUCCUGUCUGAAUAUGGGGGGA